rnacentral:rRNA from 1 species
ACGUGGAUAACCUACCUAUAAGACUGGGAUAACUUCGGGAAACCGGAGCUAAUACCGGAUAAUAUUUUGAACCGCAUGGUUCAAAAGUGAAAGACGGUCUUGCUGUCACUUAUAGAUGGAUCCGCGCUGCAUUAGCUAGUUGGUAAGGUAACGGCUUACCAAGGCAACGAUGCAUAGCCGACCUGAGAGGGUGAUCGGCCACACUGGAACUGAGACACGGUCCAGACUCCUACGGGAGGCAGCAGUAGGGAAUCUUCCGCAAUGGGCGAAAGCCUGACGGAGCAACGCCGCGUGAGUGAUGAAGGUCUUCGGAUCGUAAAACUCUGUUAUUAGGGAAGAACAUAUGUGUAAGUAACUGUGCACAUCUUGACGGUACCUAAUCAGAAAGCCACGGCUAACUACGUGCCAGCAGCCGCGGUAAUACGUAGGUGGCAAGCGUUAUCCGGAAUUAUUGGGCGUAAAGCGCGCGUAGGCGGUUUUUUAAGUCUGAUGUGAAAGCCCACGGCUCAACCGUGGAGGGUCAUUGGAAACUGGAAAACUUGAGUGCAGAAGAGGAAAGUGGAAUUCCAUGUGUAGCGGUGAAAUGCGCAGAGAUAUGGAGGAACACCAGUGGCGAAGGCGACUUUCUGGUCUGUAACUGACGCUGAUGUGCGAAAGCGUGGGGAUCAAACAGGAUUAGAUACCCUGGUAGUCCACGCCGUAAACGAUGAGUGCUAAGUGUUAGGGGGUU